UGGAAGAUGUAGAAGGUGAACCAUUAAAUGCUUUACCUGCACAGUUGGCAACAUUUGCAACAACAUCUGAGUUAGAAGACACUGUCUGACCACCCUUCACCUGUUGAAGAAGUUGAACCAGCUGAGAAACUUGGCUUUGUGUGAGUUGUUGACUUCCAUUGCUUCCAUUAACAAUGCUCUGCUCUCCUACUUCACUGUCAAAAUAUGCUGCAUUGCUCUUAACAGGUGCCUGGAACCUUUUUGACCUUGUGAACUUGAAGUCUGCUGGAAAUCCAAUGAUCCUGUAGCAUUUAUCCACUGAAUGCCCAGGUUUUUUACAGUAAGAGCAGCUCAAAUUGUUCUUCUUUCCCUGGAAAUCAGAAUUUCCAAAUUUCUGACUUGGAUGACUUUGAUUUGCAGCCAUGAAGGAUGAAGAAUCUCCAGGGAAUUGAGAGUUUACAUAAACUUCCCUUUGCUUCUCAUCUUGCAUCAACAGGGAAUAUGCAUGUCCCACAGUUGGAAGGGGUGUCAACAUCAAGAUACUACUCUUCACUGAGGCAUAGGUGUCAUUCAACCCCAUGAGAAACUUAAUUAACCUCUCAUCCUGGAGUGAUUUGGACAUUUUCAUCUUACCUCCACAACUACAUUCACAUGAGCAGUUGACAUGCGUAUUCAAGGUAUCUAACUCAUCCCAUAGCCUCUUAAUCUUAGUGAAAUACCCUGCUAUGUUGCUUGACCCUGAACCAAAUCACUCAACUCUUUCUGUAAAUGAUACAUUUUUGCACCAUUUGAUUGACCAAAUCUAUCUUCCAAAUCAUCCCACAGAUGUUUGGCUGUUUUGGAAUAGAUGACACUUUCACCAAUCUCUCUGGAAAGGGAGUUCAACAACCAAGAUAUGACCAUGUCAUUACACCUAUUCCAUAACUUGAAGUCAGGUGUUUCUGAGCUUGGUGCAAGGCAGGUUCCAUCUAUGAACCCCACCUUGUUUUUGGCAGAAAGAGCAAUGAGAAUGGACCUGCGCCACCCUCCAUAGCUUUUACCAUCAAAGUUUGUGUUUACUAAGUUCAUUCCGGGUGAAUCUGAGGGGCGAAGGAAGUAAGGAUGACUUGAGUCCUUCAUUCCACCUCCAUUAUUUGCAGAGGUGGUGACAUUUGCUGAACUGACCUCAGCUGUUUCAAGAAUAGAACCCAUUGAAGAACAAGAUAUUGAAGAUAAGAGUGAACAGAAAAAAAA
rnacentral:lncRNA from 1 species